UCAGGUGAUGAGAAACACAAUAAUAGAGUCAAGCUCUGAAGUGGUGCCGGGGUAAAUCUUCGCGCAUCACCCUUGAUGACUCUUAUUGAAUACGAUCUGAUG
rnacentral:snoRNA from 1 species